UACGUAGGUGGCAAGCGUUACUCGGAAUCACUAGGCGUAAAGCGCAGGUAGGCGGUUCGGUAAGUCUUUUGUGAAAGCUCCCGGCUCAACUGGGAGAGGUCAAAGGAAACUACCGGGCUAGAGUGUGGUAGGGGAAACCGGAAUUCCUGGUGUAGCGGUGAAAUGCGCAGAUAUCAGGAGGAACACCGGUGGCGAAGGCGGUUCUCUGGGCCUGUUCUGACGCUGAGGAGCGAAAGCGUGGGGAGCGAACAGG
rnacentral:rRNA from 1 species